UUCUGCAGCUCCCUAGUGGUCCCACAGCUGCGGCCGCCGCCUUCUUCCCCCAUGAUUAAAGCAUCUGAGACCCAGGGCUAAGCCCCUUGCCCAAGGCCACACGACAAGUAGGUGAUGGAGAGUGUUGGCGUGUACGGAUUCUGUGGGUGUAAAGCAAAGAACAAAAUGAAGCGUGGUU